AGCUGCUGUGUUCCGUCCACCAAUGCAAACACUAAGCUCUUCCAGAAACGCCCUCACAGACACCCCGGAAGUCACGUACCCGCUCUCUAGGUGCCCUGGGGCCCAGGCAGGCUGACAAGCCAGUUAUCCCCCAGAGCUCCUGCUGCCUCGCCUGCUUUCUCUCGGAAACGGGAAGUGUGGCCUCAGCUGAAAGUGAGGUGGGCCUCAUCCAAUCAGUUGAAUUCUUCAAGAGAGAAAAACUGAAGUUCCUUAGAAGGAAAGAGUUCUGCCUUCAGACUGUCUUUGAACUUAAGACUGUAACAUCGACUCCUGCCGGAAUUUCCAGCCUGCUGGCCUGCUCUGCAGAUUCACACUUGCCAGCCUCCACAAUCGUGUGAGCCAAUUCCUUAACUUCUCUUUCUCCGUGUAUCCCUUUGGUGCUGCCUCUCUGGGGAGCCCUGACUAAUAUGCAUGCAGAUGAUACGAUGCCCGGCAUUCUGAAUACAUGCACUAAAUCCACCCCUUUCCCCCAUUUAUAGAUUUGGAUUAACACACUAACUUACUCAUAUCUGCAAGUAUAAAUAAAAAAAGUUGCUGGUGCCAAUUUCAAAGUUUUGCCGUGAGGUAGCUUGAAGGAAUGACAUUUUAAGUAAUUCGCUCAAG
rnacentral:sRNA from 1 species